UACGUAGGGUGCGAGCGUUGUCCGGAAUUAUUGGGCGUAAAGAGCUUGUAGGCGGUUUGUCGCGUCUGCCGUGAAAAUCCGAGGCUCAACCUCGGACUUGCGGUGGGUACGGGCAGACUAGAGUGUGGUAGGGGAGACUGGAAUUCCUGGUGUAGCGGUGAAAUGCGCAGAUAUCAGGAGGAACACCGGUGGCGAAGGCGGCAUCCUGGACCGACACUGACGCUGAGGAGCGAAAGCCAGGGGAGCAAACAGG
rnacentral:rRNA from 1 species